rnacentral:lncRNA from 1 species
AAAUGGAAAUGUGCUUGUGUUCAUGAAAGAGUGGUAAGAUUUUAAUUAUGAAAUUUCUUAUGAAAUGAUUUAUCAUGUGGUUAAUUCCCAAAAGAGCUAUGUUUAAAUGCACUAGCUUAUGGCUAUAGUUGAUUAUAUGCUUAUGUCUUCUGUGUUAUGCAUUUGAAACGGGUGUGGAAAGGUAAUGAAAUAGUAAGUUCAUAGUUGAAGUGUAAAAUGAUAAAAAAAAAGGGAAUGAUGAGUUGAAUUGAUGUUGUUAUUUAAGUUAAGGAAAGUAAAUGAAUGGAAAGUAAUGAAAUGCAAAUGAAAAUAAGAAAAUUUGAAAGAGUUUAAAGUUAUUUAAAAUCCUACUUUGCUAGGGAUGAUAUGUAUAUGUGAUGCUGUGGGUUUAGUCACUUUGUGAGUUGUUGAAUAUGAUUUCAUGAAUCUUGCGAUAUCGGUAUAGGAUUAUUCUUGAUAUGUAUAAAUUUCGUAUUUGAAAUGGAUUGAUAUGACUAAAGUUUAUAUGAGCUUACUAAGCAUUCAUUGCUUAUGUAGUUUUCUUUCUUUUACUUUUUAGAUUAUCGGAAGCUCGAUCGGGUUGGAAGCUAGUCAGAAAUCCAUCACACUAUCCAUCGUUUAUAUCAACAGAUUUUGAUGCUUUAUUCAUGGUUAUAAUGGCAUGUAUAGGUGGACUAUGUUUAAUGCUUAAUUGAUGAGUUUGGCAUGUAUAUGUCAUUUUGGUUUAUGAUUAUGGCAUGAAAUGUUGCCUUGGGUUUGAGGUACUUAAAGUACUAUUGAUGUCUUAUUGGUUGUGGUUAAUAUGGUCAAAUUGAUGCAUGUUUUGAAAUGACCAAAUUUGGUAUAUGUUAAUGUAUCUUUAAAUGGCCAAACUGGUAUGUGAUAAAUUGAUCUCAAUAUAGUCAAA